CCGAUCUGAGGGUCCAGCCUGCAGACACCAGCAGCGUCUUAAGUCUUUCAUCGAUAUCCUUCCUCCUCCUUUGCGGUACAGACAGUUCAUAGACAGUACGCAGUUUUACCGACAGAUGCGGUACGGAUGUGGUCUCUUAAUUUCAUUGGUGACUCUGUAUAGGUGCAACCUGGAUGUGAUGGAUUGGAAUGUGGUAUUUCUGGUGGUCAACUUCAUGCAUUUCUUCUUCCUCUUGUACAAGUGAAGGCCAACUAAGGUUAACAGGGAGCUGCUGUCAGUCUACAAGCGGAUGUUUGAGUCCCUCCAUGUGAAGGAGGCUCUGUUUCAGAGGCUCACAGGACAGUUCUGCACCAUCCAGACACUGAAGAAAGGCCAGGAGUACGCUGCUGAGGACAAGACCUCUGUGGAUGAACGUCUCAGCAUUCUCCUCAAAGGAAAGAUGGAGGUGUCAUACAGAGGCCAUUUCCUCCACAACAUCUACACCAAUUCAUUCAUUGAUUCUCGAGAGUUCUGACAAAUUCUGACAA